rnacentral:tRNA from 3 species
GGGGGAUUAGCUCAGCUGGGAGAGCGCUUGACUGGCAGUCAAGAGGUCAGCGGUUCGAUCCCGCUAUUCUCCACCA